GACGAACGCUGGCGGCGUGCCUAAUACAUGCAAGUAGAACGCUGAAGGAGGAGCUUGCUUCUCCGGAUGAGUUGCGAACGGGUGAGUAACGCGUAGGUAACCUGCCUGGUAGCGGGGGAUAACUAUUGGAAACUAUAGCUAAUACCGCAUAAGAGUAGAUGUCGCAUGACAUUUGCUUAAAAGUUGCAACUGCACCACUACCAGAUGGACCUGCGUUGUAUUAGCUAGUUGGUGAGGUAACGGCUCACCAAGGCAACGAUACAUAGCCGAACUGAGAGGGUGAUCGGCCACACUGGGACUGAGACACGGCCCAGACUGCUACGGGAGGCAGCAGUAGGGAAUCGUCGGCAAUGGACGGAAGUCUGACCGAGCAACGCCGCGUGAGUGAAGAAGGUUUUCGGAUCGUAAAGCUCUGUUGUAAGAGAAGAACGAGUGUGAGAGUGGAAAGUUCACACUGUGACGGUAUCUGACCAGAAAGGGACGGCUAACUACGUG
rnacentral:rRNA from 1 species